GUCCUGUUAACUCAGCGGUAGAGUGUUUGCCUUUUAAGCAAAAAGUCGGAGGUUCGAUCCCUCCACAGGACACCA
rnacentral:tRNA from 1 species